rnacentral:tRNA from 1 species
GGAGGAGUGGCCGAGUCCGGUUUAAGGCGGCGGUCUUGAAAACCGUUGCGGCGCAAGCUGCCGUGGGUUCAAAUCCUACCUCCUCCG